rnacentral:rRNA from 1 species
UACAUAGGGUGCAAGCGUUGUCCGGAAUUAUUGGGCGUAAAGAGCUCGUAGGUGGUCGAUCACGUCGGAUGUGAAAUUCUGAGGCUUAACCUCGGACCUGCAUUCGAUACGGGUUGACUAGAGUGUGGUAGGGGAGACUGGAAUUCCUGGUGUAGCGGUGGAAUGCGCAGAUAUCAGGAGGAACACCGAUGGCGAAGGCAGGUCUCUGGGCCGUUACUGACACUGAGGAGCGAAAGCGUGGGGAGCGAACAGGAUUAGAUACCCUGGUAGUCCACGCCGUAAACGGUGGGCGCUAGUUGUGGGAACCUUCCACGGUUUCUGCGACGCAGCUAACGCAUUAAGCGCCCCGCCUGGGGAGUACGGUCGCAAGACUAAAACUCAAAGAAAUUGACGGGGCCCCGCACAAGCAGCGGAGCAUGCGGCUUAAUUCGACGCAACGCGAAGAACCUUACCAAGGCUUGACAUAUACAGGAAUACGGCAGAGAUGUCGUAGCCGCAAGGUCUGUAUACAGGUGGUGCAUGGUUGUCGUCAGCUCGUGUCGUGAGAUGUUGGGUUAAGUCCCGCAACGAGCGCAACCCUCGUCCUGUGUUACCAGCAUUUAGUUGGGGACUCACAGGAGACUGCCGGGGUCAACUCGGAGGAAGGUGGGGAUGACGUCAAAUCAUCAUGCCCCUUAUGUCUUGGGCUGCACGCAUGCUACAAUGGCUGGUACAAAGGGCUGCGAUACCGCGAGGUGGAGCGAAUCCCAAAAAGCCAGUCUCAGUUCGGAUUGGGGUCUGCAACUCGACCCCAUGAAGUCGGAGUUGCUAGUAAUCGUAGAUCAGCAACGCUACGGUGAAUACGUUCCCGGGGCU